UUCUGGCGCUGGUGUUCUGAAACUGGUGGUGCUGGUAUGCAGCUGGAUACUAUUGGGGAGAUUCACCGCUUAUUUAACACGUCUGCGUACAAAUUUGAAGGCUGUUAAUUGGAUCAAACUGGUAAACGUCAUAUUAUGCGACUACGCAUUACUUUAUUAAGGAGAGUUUACGACCUACUAGUUAAGUCUUGCAUUAAGAACAGGUGGUGUUCCUAACCACAGUAAGCACUGACUUGGUUACAAACUAACUAGUAGUUACUAAGCCCUUAGUGUGAACUUUACGUCCCAAAAUUAGUGAGACCUUACACACAGCUGGUGCAACCCUGAGGGAGAAAUACGUCAUAGAGUGAUCCGUACAUAAGUCACGAGGCGCACGGUAGGAGGUCCUUUCUGUUCUGUGCGCGGUACAUUGACACAACAAGAAUGAGUGGAACAAAAAUAGUGCAGAUGAACGUUUUUGACAAUGAAAGAAGCGGUUACUGGCUAAUUGUUUUUCAUUCUCGAUGUCUUCAAGAGAGUACUUGUUCUGUAACUUGAAAAUAGUUCCACGUGGAACGUCACCACGUGGUCCGAUGACCUACUCAAAGACAUUUCUGUGAAGGCGACUUUAAAUAAGUUCUCUUAAGGUGCAUCUGCCUCCAUCUGCCCCUUGAGGAAAUGUGGUGUGCUUGAAGGAGUUCAUGUUGCAUUCCACUGAAUGCUGUCUGGUAAUGCAGGUUUUUUUUGAGAGCGUCGCAGAUUACGGUUUAAAUGAAGGAAAUUUGGAUCUGAACAAUAAUCUUGGGCAUUGGAGCCCAAUCAUUGGCCUUUAAGUUUUCCUUGCCUAAUGGUUUUUUUUUUUUUUUUUUUCUUUGUAUGGUAAACUAAUGUACAUUUUUUAAA